rnacentral:rRNA from 1 species
AGCGAACGCUGGCGGCAGGCCUAACACAUGCAAGUCGAACGGAUCCUUCGGGAUUAGUGGCGGACGGGUGAGUAACACGUGGGAACGUGCCCUUUGGUUCGGAACAACUCAGGGAAACUUGAGCUAAUACCGGAUGUGCCCUUCGGGGGAAAGAUUUAUCGGCAUUGGAGCGGCCCGCGUCUGAUUAGCUAGUUGGGGAGGUAAAGGCUCACCAAGGCGACGAUCAGUAGCUGGUCUGAGAGGAUGAUCAGCCACAUUGGGACUGAGAGACGGCCCAAACUCCUACGGGAGGCAGCAGUGGAGAAUCUUGCGCAAUGGGCGAAAGCCUGACGCAGCCAUGCCGCGUGAAUGAUGAAGGUCUUAGGAUUGUAAAAUUCUUUCACCGGGGACGAUAAUGACGGUACCCGGAGAAGAAGCCCCGGCUAACUUCGUGCCAGCAGCCGCAGUAAUAC